AGAGUUUGAUCAUGGCUCAGAACGAACGCUGGCGGCAUGCCUAACACAUGCAAGUCGAACGAGACCUUCGGGUCUAGUGGCGCACGGGUGCGUAACGCGUGGGAAUCUGCCCUAAGGUUCGGAAUAACAGUUAGAAAUGACUGCUAAUACCGGAUAAUGUCUUCGGACCAAAGGUUUACUGCCUUAGGAUGAGCCCGCGUAGGAUUAGCUAGUUGGUGAGGUAAAGGCUCACCAAGGCGACGAUCCUUAGCUGGUCUGAGAGGAUGAUCAGCCACACUGGGACUGAGACACGGCCCAGACUCCUACGGGAGGCAGCAGUGGGGAAUAUUGGACAAUGGGCGAAAGCCUGAUCCAGCAAUGCCGCGUGAGUGAUGAAGGCCUUAGGGUUGUAAAGCUCUUUUACCCGGGAUGAUAAUGACAGUACCGGGAGAAUAAGCCCCGGCUAACUCCGUGCCAGCAGCCGCGGUAAUACGGAGGGGGCUAGCGUUGUUCGGAAUUACUGGGCGUAAAGCGCACGUAGGCGGCUUUGUAAGUCAGAGGUGAAAUCCCAGUGCUCAACACUGGAACUGCCAUUGAUACUAUUUUUCUUGAAUUUUCCGGAGGUUAGCGGAAUAUGUCAUGUAGCGGUGAAAUGCUUAGAUAUGACAUAGAACACCAAUUGCGAAGGCAGCUAACUACAGGGAUAUUGACACUGAGGCACGAAAGCGUGGGGAUCAAACAGGAUUAGAUACCCCGGUAGUCC
rnacentral:rRNA from 1 species